rnacentral:rRNA from 1 species
AUUGAACGCUGGCGGCAUGCCUUACACAUGCAAGUCGAACGGCAGCACGGGAGCAAUCCUGGUGGCGAGUGGCGAACGGGUGAGUAAUAUAUCGGAACGUGCCCAGUAGUGGGGGAUAGCCCGGCGAAAGCCGGAUUAAUACCGCAUGAGACCUGAGGGUGAAAGCGGGGGAUCGCAAGACCUCGCGCUAUUGGAGCGGCCGAUAUCAGAUUAGCUAGUUGGUGGGGUAAAGGCCUACCAAGGCAACGAUCUGUAGUUGGUCUGAGAGGACGACCAGACACACUGGGACUGAGACACGGCCCAGACUCCGACGGGAGGCAGCAGUGGGGAAUAUUGGACAAUGGGCGCAAGCCUGAUCCAGCCAUGCCGCGUGUGUGAAGAAGGCCUUCGGGUUGUAAAGCACUUUCAGUAGGGAGGAAGGAUGUUGUGUUAAUAGCACAGCAUUUUGACGUUACCUACAGAAGAAGCACCGGCUAACUCUGUGCCAGCCGCCGCCGUAAGAC